rnacentral:rRNA from 1 species
AUUGAACGCUGGCGGCAUGCCUUACACAUGCAAGUCGAACGGUAACGGGCCUUCGGGUGCCGACGAGUGGCGAACGGGUGAGUAAUACAUCGGAACGUGCCCGAUCGUGGGGGAUAACGAGGCGAAAGCUUUGCUAAUACCGCAUACGAUCUACGGAUGAAAGCAGGGGACCGCAAGGCCUUGCGCGGACGGAGCGGCCGAUGGCAGAUUAGGUAGUUGGUGGGAUAAAAGCUUACCAAGCCGACGAUCUGUAGCUGGUCUGAGAGGAUGAUCAGCCACACUACGCCUGCGAGACGGCCCAGACUGCUACGGUAGACAGCGGGCGGGAGUUUUAGACAAUGGGGGCGAGCCUAGUCCGACGGCCCCGGGUUUGGGAAGUAGGCCUUCGGGUUGUAAACUCCUUUCGCUUGGGACGAGGCGCAAGUGACGGUACCGGAAGAAGAAGCACCGGCUAACUACGUG